rnacentral:rRNA from 1 species
UACGUAGGGUGCGAGCGUUGUCCGGCAUUACUGGGCGUAAAGAGCUCGUAGGUGGUUUGUCGCGUUGUCCGUGAAAACUCACAGCUCAACUGUGGGCGUGCGGGCGAUACGGGCAGACUGGAGUACUGCAGGGGAGACUGGAAUUCCUGGUGUAGCGGUGGAAUGCGCAGAUAUCAGGAGGAACACCGGUGGCGAAGGCGGGUCUCUGGGCAGUAACUGACGCUGAGGAGCGAAAGCGUGGGGAGCGAACAGG